GCAAGGAGCUGGAAGGUAAAGCAGCACAAAGGUAAAGUAGAAGGAGCAGAAAUGGUCAGCAAAGAGCUGAAAAUGGCAGGAAGGGACCCUCUGUCCCUUCCUGCCAUUUUCAGCUCCUUGCUGACCCUUUCUGCUCCUUCUACUUUACCUUUGUGCUGCUUUACCUUCCAGCUCCUUGCU